rnacentral:lncRNA from 1 species
GCUUUUCACCUGUCACAGAGCAUCCCAUAAUCAAGCCAUGCCGCCGCACACCACGGUACCAUUUCGGACCAAUUCUUUUUAUUUGAACAUUUUUGAAACCAGCCUUUCGAAACCAUUCAAUGUACUCUUCCUCCUUUGGGAAGAGCAUCCACAAAUCUGCAAAGAAACGAGACAACCAAAAGGUAGGGUACACAGGGCCAAUUAUACAGGCUUUUCCACCGAUUUUCAGUACUCUGUAAGCCUCCCUAAUGCCACGCUGUGGAUCUGGCCAGUACUCAAUACUGAGGAGGACAAACAAAAUAUUAAGUAUUUUGUAAGAAUGACUCUAAAGCAAUUUUUUUUCCCAUGAAGCCAACAAUCAUAGAUUCAUGAUAAUCAUUUACAAUCAUCACAAAAUACCCUGCAUUAGACAACCCAAAAACUAAUAACAAGAAGAAAAUACCUUUGAAAAACAAAAUUCUAAUCUUAUCCAUAAAUGGAGAGCUAAAGAAAAUAAAAAUAACAGAACAAUAAACAAAAAAGAAUACCUUCCAGCAGAGAUAUAUCUAUCUGCAUAAUCAGUUGGAAAUGGGAGAUCCUCUGCAUCACCUUCAAUUAUCCUGCAUUCCUUCAAAGGCUCCUUCUCCUUAGCCUUGGCAAGCUGGUGAGGGGAUUGGUCCAGAAUAGUGACAUUUUUUGCAUCCACAUGCUUAACUAUGCCUAGAGUAGUGAACCCAGUCCCGCCUCCGACAUCAACCACUGUCAUUUUCCUAUCAUAAAGAUCAGCGGGCUCGAGUGCCUCAUCCCGCAUAUCCUCUGUCCAGUGUCCAGGGUUUAUGAUAUGAUCAUAUACUAUGGACAGGAAUCUAUAGAACCAGAAC